rnacentral:rRNA from 1 species
UGGGGAGUACGGCCGCAAGGCUAAAACUCAAAGGAAUUGACGGGGGCCCGCACAAGCGGCGGAGCAUGCGGAUUAAUUCGAUGCAACGCGAAGAACCUUACCAAGACUUGACAUAUACGAGAACGGGCCAGAAAUGGUCAACUCUUUGGACACUCGUAAACAGGUGGUGCAUGGUUGUCGUCAGCUCGUGUCGUGAGAUGUUGGGUUAAGUCCCGCAACGAGCGCAACCCUCGUUCUAUGUUGCCAGCACGUAAUGGUGGGAACUCAUAGGAGACUGCCGGGGUCAACUCGGAGGAAGGUGGGGAUGACGUCAAAUCAUCAUGCCCCUUAUGUCUUGGGCUUCACGCAUGCUACAAUGGCCGAUACAAAGGGCUGCAAUACCGUAAGGUGGAGCGAAUCCCAAAAAGUCGGUCUCAGUUCGGAUUGAGGUCUGCAACUCGACCUCAUGAAGUCGGAGUCGCUAGUAAUCGCAGAUCAGCAACGCUGCGGUGAAUACGUUCCCGGGCCUUGUACACACCGCCCGUCAAGUCAUGAAAGUCGGUAACACCCGAAGCCAGUGGCCUAACCGCAAGGAAGGAGCUGUCGAAGGUGGGAUCGGUAAUUA